AUCUAUGAUUUCAUCGGUGUG
rnacentral:miRNA from 15 species